ACAGGACUCAACUCAAUCCACCCUGUUACAUUUGUUUAUUGCCAUCUGGUUCAUACCUUUUAGGAAAAAACAGUAUUGGUUUGGGAUCAGAUAAUCUGCAUCCUGAGGUUUAGAAACAAGAUUUUGAUUGGAUCUAAUCCUUGGGAUGUAGAUUAUCCCUUCCUUUUGUCAUGACCAAUUUAUACAUCGUUUAAAUCACCCCUUCAAUAAAAUCAGCAUCCAUAGGAUGUGGAUUAUCACUGCUGUUUGUUAUUGGAGUUCCUUACGGGACAGUUCAUGCUCCUUGAGGCAUUGCUGCAGAUCAAAUGAGAGAUUCUAGGGUAUGCGUGCCAUGAAUAAUGAAUCACUGCAUGCUACAGGUAAAAAUGCACUGUGUACAUGAGUGAGUGUUAUGCAUAAAAGUGAAUAAUAUUACAUAAUUAUAAAACUUUUAAAAGUUUUAAUCUUAACCAAUUCUCCGAGUAGAUUGGUUCGUGUGAUUAAGGUUUGAUAGUUAACUCUUUCUGUCCUUAUGAGUGCUGGAUAGGUCCUUCUUGAUAUCAUUACAAUUUUCUAAGAAUAUUUUUUGGCGUGUAAUGACUAGACAGAAUUGUUUUU
rnacentral:lncRNA from 1 species